CGAGGUGUUGUGUAGCCUAUAAUAGCCCCAGUCGGAACUGACGCGGGCCCGAAUAUGAAUUGACGGAAUUUUAUGCGGCUGUGAUGGCCGUAGAGGGCGAGGCCGAGACAUGGAUGGAAGAUCCAACCAAAGCUGUUGGGGCCCAACCCCAUGCAAGAGCGUGCUAAUAGGUUGUCAACGCACGGUGUGGGUGAUGCAUUGUCAUAAGAUGCCCGAAACCAAGCAAUAGUCAACCUUGCAGCAUGCCGACGCAUGAGGCGCCGUCCCCUUCGGCCGAGGCACACAUUCUUGGAUCUGCCUCGCAUGGGCACACA
rnacentral:lncRNA from 1 species